rnacentral:tRNA from 1 species
GUUUUAGUAGUUUAAGUCUAAAACACUGAUUUUGUAAAUCAGAAAUAUUAGUUCUAAAACA